rnacentral:rRNA from 1 species
UGGGGAAUAUUGCACAAUGGGCGAAAGCCUGAUGCAGCAACGCCGCGUGCGGGAUGACGGCCUUCGGGUUGUAAACCGCUUUCAGUAGGGACGAAGCUAACGUGACGGUACCUACAGAAGAAGCACCGGCCAACUACGUGCCAGCAGCCGCGGUGAUACGUAGGGUGCAAGCGUUGUCCGGAAUUAUUGGGCGUAAAGAGCUCGUAGGCGGUCUGUCACGUCGGAAGUGAAAUCUCGGGGCUUAACCCCGAGCCUGCUUCCGAUACGGGCAGACUAGAGGAAGGUAGGGGAGAACGGAAUUCCGAGUGGAGCGGUGGAAUGCGCAGAUAUUCGGAGGAACACCGGUGGCGAAGGCGGUUCUCUGGACCUUUCCUGACGCUGAGGAGCGAAAGCGUGGGGAGCAAACAG